AUUGAACGCUGGCGGAAGGCCUAACACAUGCAAGUCGAGCGGAUAGGGGGACGGGGGAGUAAGGCCUAUGAAUCUGCCUGGUAGUGGGAGAUAAGGACAGGACACGGUGGCUAAUACCACAUACUAUAAGUCUAGCAUAGGGCGGAUUAGCAAGUGGGUGGGUUAAAGGACUACCAAGGCGACGAUCCGUAUCUGGUCCGAGAGGAGGAUCAGUCACACUGGAACUGAGACACGGUCCAGACGCCUACGUGAGGCAGCAGUGGGGAAGAGUUGACAAUGGGCGAAAGCCUGAUCCAGCCAUGCCGCGUGUGUGAAGAAGGUCUUCGGUUUGUAAAGCACUUUAGGUUGGGAGGCGUUACCAACAGAAUAAGCACCGGCUAACUUCGUGCCAGCAGCCGCGGUAAUAC
rnacentral:rRNA from 1 species